rnacentral:rRNA from 1 species
AGGCGACGACGGGUAGCCGGCCUGAGAGGGCGACCGGCCACACUGGGACUGAGACACGGCCCAGACUCCUACGGGAGGCAGCAGUGGGGAAUAUUGCACAAUGGGGGAAACCCUGAUGCAGCGACGCAGCGUGCGGGAUGACGGCCUUCGGGUUGUAAACCGCUUUCAGCAGGGAAGAAGCGAAAGUGACGGUACCUGCAGAAGAAGUACCGGCUAACUACGUGCCAGCAGCCGCGGUAAUACGUAGGGUACGAGCGUUGUCCGGAAUUAUUGGGCGUAAAGAGCUCGUAGGUGGUUGGUCACGUCUGCUGUGGAAACGCAACGCUUAACGUUGCGCGGGCAGUGGGUACGGGCUGACUAGAGUGCAGUAGGGGAGUCUGGAAUUCCUGGUGUAGCGGUGAAAUGCGCAGAUAUCAGGAGGAACACCGGUGGCGAAGGCGGGACUCUGGGCUGUAACUGACACUGAGGAGCGAAAGCAUGGGGAGCGAACAGGAUUAGAUACCCUGGUAGU